rnacentral:rRNA from 1 species
AAUAGAUACCCGGGUAGUCCACGCCCUAAACUAUGUCGACUGGUUGUUGGGGAGUCUGUCCCUCAGUAACGUAGCUAACGCGUGAAGUCGACCGCCUGGGGAGUACGGUCGCAAGAUUAAAACUCAAAGGAAUUGACGGGGACCCGCACAAGCGGUGGAUUAUGUGGAUUAAUUCGAUGCAACGCGAAGAACCUUACCUACCCUUGACAUGCCAGGAAUCCUGCAGAGAUGCGGGGUGCCCGAAAGGGAACCUGGACACAGGUGCUGCAUGGCUGUCGUCAGCUCGUGUCGUGAGAUGUUGGGUUAAGUCCCGCAACGAGCGCAACCCUUGCCAUUAGUUGCUACAUUCAGCUGGGCACUCUAAUGGGACUGCCGGUGACAAACCGGAGGAAGGUGGGGAUGACGUCAAGUCCUCAUGGCCCUUAUGGGUAGGGCUUCACACGUAAUCAAUGGCGCAUACAGAGGGCUGCAAAACCCGGCGAGGGGGGAAGCCGAAAUCCCGAAAAAAGUGCGUCGUAGUCCGGAUUGUUCUCUGCAA